rnacentral:rRNA from 1 species
GGUCGAACGAACGGAUAAAGAGCUUGCUCUUUUGAAGUUAGUGGCGGACGGGUGAGUAACACGUGGGUAACCUGCCUCACAGCUGGGGAUAACAUCGAGAAAUCGAUGCUAAUACCGAAUGUGCUGAACAUCAUAAGAUGUUCAAGUGAAAGACGGUUUCGGCUGUCACUGUGAGAUGGACCCGCGCUGGAUUAGCUAGUUGGUAAGGUAAUGGCUUACCAAGGCGACGAUCCAUAGCCGACCUGAGAGGGUGAUCGGCCACAUUGGGACUGAGACACGGCCCAAACUCCUACGGGAGACAGCAGUAGGGAAUCUUCGGCAAUGGACGAAAGUCUGACCGAGCAACGCCGCGUGAGCGAAGAAGGCCUUCGGGUCGUAAAGCUCUGUUGUUAGAGAAGAACAUGGGUGAGAGUAACUGUUCACCCCUUGACGGUAUCUAACCAGAAAGCCACGGCUAACUACGUG